rnacentral:rRNA from 1 species
GACGAACGCUGGCGGCGUGCCUAAUACAUGCAAGUCGAACGCUGAAGGAGGAGCUUGCUUCUCUGGAUGAGUUGCGAACGGGUGAGUAACGCGUAGGUAACCUGCCUGGUAGCGGGGGAUAACUAUUGGAAACGAUAGCUAAUACCGCAUAAUAGUAGAUGUUGCAUGACAUUUGCUUAAAAGGUGCAAUUGCAUCACUACCAGAUGGACCUGCGUUGUAUUAGCUAGUUGGUGAGGUAACGGCUCACCAAGGCGACGAUACAUAGCCGACCUGUGAGGGUGAUCGGCCACACUGGGACUGAGACACGGCCCAGACUCCUACGGGAGGCAGCAGUAGGGAAUCUUCGGCAAUGGACGGAAGUCUGACCGAGCAACGCCGCGGGAGUGAAGAAGGUUUUCGGAUCGUAAAGCUCUGUUGUAAGAGAAGAACGAGUGUGAGAGUGGAAAGUUCACACUGUGACGGUAUCUUACCAGAAAGGGACGGCUAACUACGUG